AUGGGUAUUUUUAAGUUUCCGGCUUCCCUUUGUGAGGAGUUAACCCAGAUUAUCAAGAAUUUUUGGUGGGGAAAUGAGGAAGAUAGAAGAAAAACACAUUGGUUAGCAUGGGACAAAUUAAGAAGGUCUAAAGGUAAGGGAGGUAUGGGAUUCCGGGAUCUCAGAUUAUUUAACCAAGCCCUCUUAGCCAAACAAGCAUGGAGGUUAUUGGUUUAUCUGGAUUCGUUGUGUGCUAAGCUGAUGAAGGCAAAGUAUUACCCUCAGGGACAUAUUCUUGAUAUAGUGUUUCCUCAGUUUGCAUCACUCACUUGGCAAGGUAUUAUGCAUGGUCUGGAAUUACUUAAUAAUGGUGUCAUUUGGCGGGUGGGUGAUGGAUCUAGUAUUAAUAUUUGGAGGGAUAAUAGGUUAUCCAGGAGCACUAGCCUUAAAAUUUCGACUAAAAGGCAUAAUACUAGAUUGAGAUGGGUCUCUGAUUUGUUCUUGAGCGGGAGAAAGGUAUGGGAUGAAAAUUUGAUUAAGUACCUUUUCUAUCCCCAUGAUGCAGAGGAGAUUCUCAAGAUUCAUAUUCAUGCUUAUGGGGAUGGGGAUUUUAUUGCGUGGCACUAUGAGAAGAAUGGUAUAUUUUCUGUUAAAAGU
rnacentral:rRNA from 1 species